rnacentral:rRNA from 1 species
UACGUAAGGGGCGAGCGUUGCUCGGAAUUACUGGGCGUAAAGGGCGUGUAGGCGGCUUGUCAAGUCGAAUGUAAAAAACCGCGGCUCAACCGCGGGACUGCGUUCGAAACUGACAGGCUUGAGUUUGGUGGAGGGUGAUGGAAUUCCCGGUGUAGCGGUGAAAUGCGUAGAUAUCGGGAAGAACACCGAAGGCUAAAGCAGUCAUCUAUGCCAAAACUGACGCUGAGGCGCGAAAGCAUGGGUAU